rnacentral:tRNA from 13 species
UGGAGAAAUACCCAAGUCCGGCUGAAGGGAUCAGUCUUGAAAACUGAGAGGCGAUGCAAGUCGCGCGGGGGUUCGAAUCCCUCUUUCUCCGCCAU